rnacentral:lncRNA from 1 species
CUCUCUGCCUCUCUCUCUCUCUGCAUAUGAGAUAUCCCACUAGACACAGAUGUCAGUUCAACAUUUAGUUUUGACUCACAUUUGGUUGAGUUGUCAACUAAAGUAAAUUUCACAUGAAAAUAAACCUUCAGACAUAGUUACCAGACCCGGACUCAGGGAUGGCUAACCCUGGAGAUCCCUUGAAUCUCCACCGAGGUGGUCCACCUUCCCUGUGGCCGAUCUGGUUACUCUAUUGACAGUGGACAGGACAUGGACGUCUCGUUUGUCAUGCCACUUUACUGCCAGCUGUUGACCAUUCUCCUUGAACUCCACCUCCCCUCUCUGCAUCUUCCUGCAUCCGAAUGCCGGCAUCCCCUUCCUGUUCGACCUUACUGUGCCACAGGUCCCUGUGCUGUUGGAGAGCAGAUGCUGGAAGAGUGUGGGACUGCUGUACCAAUUGUCCACAUACAAGGUGUGUCCCUUGCCGAGAUGAGGAGCCAGCAUGGUCAUCACUACAGACCUGGACACCCCAAGCCCCUCAUAAUGUUGGAUGUCAGUGGUGGACCCUGUGUAAACUAUAAUGUCAUGGACAAAUCCUGUCUUCACGUCAUACAUAACAAAGAACUUGACCCCAAACCUGUGUCUUUUGGAGGGAAUAUAUUGACGGAAUGCCAGCCUACCUUUCCAUAACAUCAGGAACUCAUCAAUGCAUAGGUCCUUGUAUGGCACAAAGACCCGACCAAAUGCUGAUGUCAGGCUGCUCCUCUGUCAGAAACAACUUGAAGCACUCUGCCUCAGUUGGAAAUGGCAAGGGGCGUUGCACUCCAGACUGGGACUCAUCAAAGCAAACAGCAGGGCCAGGAGGGG